GAUGCAUAGCCGGCCUGAGAGGGCGGACGGCCACAUUGGGACUGAGACACGGCCCAAACUCCUACGGGAGGCAGCAUAGGGAAUUUUCGUCAAUGGGGGGAACCCUGAACGAGCAAUGCCGCGUGAGUGAGGAAGGUCUUCGGAUCGUAAAGCUCUGUUGUAAGAGAAAAACGGCACUCAUAGGGAAUGAUGAGUGAGUGAUGGUAUCUUACCAGAAAGUCACGGCUAACUACGUGCCAGCAGCCGCGGUAAUACGUAGGUGGCGAGCGUUAUCCGGAAUGAUUGGGCGUAAAGGGUGCGUAGGUGGCAGAUCAAGUCUGGAGUAAAAGGUAUGGGCUCAACCCGUACUGGCUCUGGAAACUGAUCAGCUAGAGAACAGAAGAGGACGGCGGAACUCCAUGUGUAGCGGUAAAAUGCGUAGAUAUAUGGAAGAACACCGGUGGCGAAGGCGGCCGUCUGGUCUGGAUUCUGACACUGAAGCACGAAAGCGUGGGGAGCAAAUAGGAUUAGAUACCCUAGUAGUCCACGCCGUAAACGAUGAGAACUAGGUGUUGGGGGAAUAACUCAGUGCCGCAGUUAACGCAGUAAGUUCUCCGCCUGGGGAGUAUGCACGCAAGUGUGAAACUCAAAGGAAUUGACGGGGGCCCGCACAAGCGGUGGAGUAUGUGGUUUAAUUCGAAGCAACGCGAAGAACCUUACCAGGCCUUGACAUCCCUUGCAGAGGUAUAGAGAUAUAUCUAGGUUAUCAAGGAGACAGGUGGUGCAUGGUUGUCGUCAGCUCGUGUCGUGAGAUGUUGGGUUAAGUCCCGCAACGAGCGCAACCCUUGUGAUAUGUUACUAACAUUGAGUUGAGGACUCAUAUCAGACUGCCGGUGAUAAACCGGAGGAAGGUGGGGAUGACGUCAAAUCAUCAUGCCCCUUAUGGCCUGGGCUACACACGUACUACAAUGGCGUCUACAAAGAGCGGCAAGCCUGUGAAGGCAAGCGAAUCUCAUAAAGGACGUCUCAGUUCGGAUUGAAGUCUGCAACCCGACUUCAUGAAGCUGGAAUCGCUAGUAAUCGCGAAUCAGCAUGUCGCGGUGAAUACGUUCUCGGGCCUUGUACACACCGCCCGUCAAACCAUGGGAGUUGGUAAUGCCCGAAGCCGGUGGCAUAACCCUUCGGGGAGUGAGCCGUCGAAGGCAGGACCGAUGACUGGGGUUAAGUCGAAACAAGGUA
rnacentral:rRNA from 1 species